rnacentral:lncRNA from 1 species
UGAUAGUUAAUCAAAUUGUGGACAGUAUGAGUUGGUAGAAAGCCUUAGGUUGUUCGUGCUUGUGACAAGGAUUUUGUGGCAUCCCCCCUAGGCCCACUCCAAGGUAUUAUUCUGCAUGGUCGAAUCAGCACAGUCCUAGUCCGAUGCAGCGGCACGUCGAUCCUGGGAUUCGAACCCAUGCUUUUUAUUUCCCCUGAAAGGAACGCUUUUAACCAUUCCAAC